AAUGCGGGACUCUAAGAGGCCCCGUAAUUGGAAUGAGUACACCUUAAAUCGUUUAACGAUUCAAUUGGAGGGCAAGUCUGGUGCCAGCAGCCGCGGUAAUUCCAGCUCCAAUAGCGUAUAUUAAAGUUGCUGCAGUUAAAAAGCUCGUAGUUGGAUCUGGGGCUUGAGGUCGCUGUCUAUCGUUUCGGCGAUGACGGUGAUGCUCAGCUCUGCUUGCCGGUGACUGUUGCGGUGUUCUUCACUGAGCGCUGUAGCAGCACGGCACGUUUACUUUGAAAAAAUUAGAGUGCUCAAAGCGUGCUUGUCGCUUGAAUAAUGUUGCAUGGAAUAAUGGAAUAGGACCUCGGUUCUAUUUUGUUGGUUUUCGGAGCUUGAGGUAAUGAUUAAGAGGGACGAACGGGGGCAUUCGUAUUGCGGUGUUAGAGGUGAAAUUCUUGGAUCGCCGCAAGACGGACUACUGCGAAAGCAUUUGCCAAGAACGCUUUCAUUAAUUAAGAACGAAAGUCAGAGGUUCGAAGACGAUCAGACACCGUCCUAGUUCUGACCAUAAACGAUGCCGACCAGCGAUCCGUAGUGGUUGCUUUAUGGACCCUACGGGCAGCCUCCGGGAAACCAAAGUAUUUGGGUUCCGGGGGAAGUAUGGUUGCAAAGCUGAAACUUAAAGGAAUUGACGGAGGGGCACACCAGGAGUGGAGCCUGCGGCUUAAUUUGACACAACACGGGAAAACUCACCCGGUCCGGACACCGUAAGGAUUGACAGACUGAUAGCUCUUUCUUGAUUCGGUGGAUGGUGGUGCAUGGCCGUUCUUAGUUGGUGGAGUGAUUUGUCUGGUUAAUUCCGAUAACGAACGAGACUCUAGCCUGCUAAGUAGUGUUGCUAUUGUUAUAUGGUUGACACUUCUUAGAGGGACAAGUGGCAUUUAGCCACGCGAAAUUGAGCAAUAACAGGUCUGUGAUGCCCUUAGAUGUCCGGGGCCGCACGCGCGCUACACUGGAGAAGUCAGCGUGUGUUAUCCAAGUCCGAAAGGACUGGGUAAUCCGUUGAACCUUCUUCGUGCUUGGGACUGUGGCUUGGAACUAUUCCACAUGAACGAGGAAUUCCUAGUAAUUGCAAGUCAUAAGCUUGCGUUGAUUACGUCCCUGCCCUUUGUACACACCGCCCGUCGCUACUACCGAUUGAAUGGUUUAGCAAGGUCCUCGGAUCGUGGCCGUAGGGGCACGCAAGUGUUUCUGCGGUUUGCGAGAAGACGACCAAACUUGAUCAUUUAGA
rnacentral:rRNA from 1 species